rnacentral:rRNA from 1 species
GAUGAACGCUGGCGGCGUGCCUAAUACAUGCAAGUCGAGCGAACAGAUGAGGAGCUUGCUCCUCUGACGUUAGCGGCGGACGGGUGAGUAACACGUGGAUAACCUACCUAUAAGACUGGGAUAACUUCGGGAAACCGGAGCUAAUACCGGAUAAUAUAUUAAACCGCAUGGUUCAAUAGUGAAAGACGGUUUUGCUGUCACUUAUAGAUGGAUCCGCGCCGCAUUAGCUAGUUGGUAAGGUAACGGCUUACCAAGGCAACGAUGCUUAGCCGACCUGAGAGGGUGAGCGGCCACACUGGAACUGAGACACGGUCCAGACUCCUACGGGAGGCAGCAGUAGGGAAUCUUCCGCAAUGGGCGAAAGCUUGAAGGAGCAACGCCGCGUGAGUGAUGAAGGUCUUCGGAUCGUAAAACUCUGUUAUGAGGGAAGAACAAAUGUGUAAGUAACUAUGCACGUCUUGACGGUACCUAAUCAGAAAGCCACGGCUAACUACGUG